rnacentral:sRNA from 1 species
GCCUUGGGGGCGUGCACAAGGACUUUGAAUGGGGGCCCCCCUGACCUUCCCUCGACGUGGCCGUGGCCUGCAGGAGGAUGGGCAGGGACUCUGAGUGGGCGAGGGUCGGAGCUGACCGCCCGCUUCCCUCCCCAAGGCUCUAGCAGCCUGGGCUUCACCUCCAGCCCCUCCCCUUUCUCCUCCUCGUCGCCCGAAAACGUGGAGGAUUCCGGCCUGGACUCUCCGUCCCACGCGGCACCUGGCCCCUCCCCAGAUUCCUGGGUCCCCCGCCCAGGCACCCCGCAGAGCCCGCCCAGCUGUAGGGCGCCACCCCCAGAGGCCAGGGGUAUCCGGGCACCGCCUCUGCCAGACUCGCCGCAGCCCCUCGCCUCGUCUCCAGGCCCCUGGGGGCUGGAGGCCUUGGCCGGAGGAGUCUCGUUCCCUGAGCCCCUCCCCACUGGGCUCUUCAGCUGCCAGCACUGCCUUGGAACGGCCCAGCUUCUUAUCCCAGACAGGACACGGAGUCUCCCGGGGUCCGAGCCCCGUGGUCCUGGGCUCCCAGGAUGCCCUGCCCAUAGCCACAGCCUUCACGGAGUACGUCCACGCCUACUUCCGUGGCCACAGCCCCAGCUGCCUGGCUCGAGUAACUGGGGAGCUGACCAUGACCUUCCCUGCUGGCAUCGUGCGUGUGUUCAGCGGGACCCCACCACCACCUGUCCUCAGCUUCCGGCUUGUACACACAACUCCUAUUGAGCACUUCCAGCCCAACGCCGAUCUGCUGUUCAGUGACCCCUCCCAGAGUGACCCUGAGACCAAAGACUUCUGGCUCAACAUGGCAGCUCUGACCGAAGCCCUGCAGCGCCAGGCAGAGCAGAACCCCACCGCCUCCUACUACAACGUGGUGCUGCUGCGAUACCAG